ensembl:lncRNA
AUAAAAGCUCAGUUCUUUCUUGCCCUCUCUCAGACCUUUUUGUACAGGCCACUCGCUCUGGGAGUUGUCCAUGCUAUAUGAUAAGUCCAAAAUGCCCCCCUCUUAGGAACGAGCUCUGGAUGUUCAACAACUUUUACAUGGUUUCGCUUUACUCACGGCCCCCGUCUUCCCCGCACAGAUGUUGGAUACAUUACGAAACCUAUGAACAAUAAAGAAUGGCUUAAUGUUCUAAGGCUGCAAACAAAAGAAUGUUCUAAUGGCAGCAGCUUAUAUAUAUAUAAAAAAAGAUAUUUGGACAGGUUUAGGAUUCAAUUACUGUGUGAUUGAGUGUUGACAUUUUUGAGGCUACAUGACAGGAAAUUCAUUAGAAGCAGAGCAGCUUGGGAAGGAUUGCGGGCUGCCGUUAAAGGAAAUGGGUGAUUGCGAAAAGAAUGCUGGCGGAGGUAGAGAGGGCGCUGGAACAGAUGUUCAUGAAAAGCCGAUUGUAUUCCUUCUGAUGGUCGGGUGGCUGAAGUGGAGGUAGGCAGUGGAACAGAUGAAAGAGAAGCUGAAGAAUAAGAGUGUGGAACUCGCUCUCGUUGCCCGCAGUGAGGCAGAGGCCAGAGAGAGAUGCAGAUGGGCGCAUCCUCAGGGAAAGUGUCACGUUCCAGCGCUUGGUGGGAAUUGGGCAGAGGAAACAGGAAGGGGAGCCGAUGACAACAUCUGGUUGUGAUUUCAGAGAUGCGGGUGAAAUAUGAAAUCGAAACGGGCCUUACAGAAAUACAUGUUUCAGCAGCAGCUGCUAAGGGCAAUUUAUUACAAUUAAUAUCAUCUUAAUGUUACCUUUUGAGUGACAAAAUUAUUUGCUUUUAAUUUUCCACAAUAUUUUCUAGGCAUGCUUGGGACUUUUCCAGACCACAAAGUAAUCAUCUUUUUGUCAGCACGGCUAUCUCUUACCUUCUGCAGCGUUUGAAUGAAUUAUUGAA